UACAGCCGUACCAACUUGAACAUGCCCGAUCUCAUCUAAUCUUGGAAACUAAGCAGAAUCUGACCUGGUUGGUACUUGCAUGGGAGAGAAGUCCUAAGAAAUCUCUGAGU
rnacentral:rRNA from 1 species